rnacentral:rRNA from 1 species
CAGCAGCCACGGGAAUACGUAGGGUGCGAGCGUUAGUCGGAAUUACUGGGCGUAAAGCGUGCGCAGGCGGUUGUGUAAGACAGGUGUGAAAUCCCCGGGCUUAACCUGGGAACUGCGCUUGUGACUGCACAGCUAGAGUAUGGCAGAGGGGGGUGGAAUUCCACGUGUAGCAGUGAAAUGCGUAGAGAUGUGGAGGAACACCGAUGGCGAAGGCAGCCCCCUGGGCCAAUACUGACGCCCAUGCACGAAAGCGUGGGGAGCAAACAGGAUUAGAUACCCCUGUAGUCCCUGUCUCUUAUAC